GAUGAACGCUGGCGGCGUGCUUAACACAUGCAAGUCGAGCGAAGCACAUAGAUGGAAUUCUUCGGAAGGAAGCCCAUGUGACUGAGCGGCGGACGGGUGAGUAACGCGUGGGGAACCUGCCCUGUACCGGGGGAUAACAGUUAGAAAUGGCUGCUAAUACCGCAUAAGCGCACAGCAAGGCAUCUUGCCGUGUGAAAAACUCCGGUGGUACAGGAUGGACCCGCGUUGGAUUAGCCAGUUGGCGGGGUAACGGCCCACCAAAGCGACGAUCCAUAGCCGGCCUGAGAGGGCGACUGGCCACAUUGGGGCUGAGACACGGCCCAAACUCCUACGGGAGGCAGCAGUGGGGAAUAUUGCACAAUGGGGGAAACCCUGAUGCAGCGACGCCGCGUGAACGAAGAAGUACCUCGGUAUGUAAAGUUCUAUCAGCAGGGAAGAAAAUGACGGUACC
rnacentral:rRNA from 1 species